ensembl:lncRNA
CUUUAUCUUACAGGUUUUCAGCGGUUGUGUGAAAAUCAGCUCAGAACCUGUUUGUUUCUUCCUGUGGGUGCUCUCAGUGUUUCAAGCCCAGGGCCUCCAAGGAGUGGCAAGGCAAUGCCAGAGCGAUGAAGGCUUGUGAUUCAACCUGCCGGUGUGUGAAAGAUCCAAAGAGAUGAAAAAUGUUUCUUCCUUUCAGAAAUGCUGAUGUUCUUCAGGCGUAUUGAAGUGGAGCUGUACUCUAUCCAGACACUGAACAGAACCUGGAAAUGACGAUGAUAGUGAUUAAAAGGAAUGUCUCAGAUGGGAACAAGUGUACCAGCAGUCCUGCGUGACACCUUUGGUUCAAUUUCCU